AAGUGUUCCCUUUCCCCAUGUCUGUUGCUCCUGAUUAUGUUCACCUGGUGCCCUGUGUUGUCUCCUCCCCCCUCACCUGUGUCUUGUUGGGUUAAUUAGUGUGGGUAUUUAGGCUCUGUGUUUCCUGUUUUGUUUGGUGUGUGAGAUCCUUGUGGCUGGUGACUGUGCUCACGUGAACAGCGAGAUUGAGGCUGUGUCAUGUGCCCAACGAACAACAUGUGCUUGACCUACAUUCUGCGGCAGUGGAGUUUAAUAAUAGCAGAUAUUGAUAAAGCACCAUCACUGCACGUGUUAGUGGAUGACUGUCAGUGUUUCCUGGCACGCCGUCCUCUCCUCCUCCGUCUCCAGAGGCCUCGGACAACAGACGGGUCACAGCGAAGCCACAUUUUAAAUCCGGUGUGCAGAUGGACACCAGUAGUUGUUCUAAAUCCUGAGCACCUUGGCACCGGGCAGCACAGAGAGGGCAGAGCGGACCUACACUGAUACGCCUUCAUGUCAGGAUUGUGAUUCUUUACAGUGAACCACAUGUUGGAACAUUUUGACCUGUGAUCAGAGCUGCCGCACUGUGUACGGUUAAAAGAAUGUUCCCUUGUUAUAUUUGAACUAUUAUUUAUGAUUUGUG